AGAACGAACGCUGGCGGCACGCCUAACACAUGCAAGUCGAGCGAGACCUUCGGGUUUAGCGGCGGACGGGUUAGUAACGCGUGGGAACGUACCCUUUUCUACGGAAUAGCCUCGGGAAACUGGGAGUAAUACCGUAUACGCCCUUUUGGGGAAAGAUUUAUCGGAGAAGGAUCGGCCCGCGUCUGAUUAGAUAGUUGGUGGGGUAAUGGCCUACCAAGUCUGCGAUCAGUAGCUGGUUUGAGAGGAUGAUCAGCAACACUGGGACUGAGACACGGCCCAGACUCCUACGGGAGGCAGCAGUGGGGAAUCUUAGACAAUGGGCGCAAGCCUGAUCUAGCGAUGCCGCGUGAGUGACGAAGGCCUUAGGGUCGUAAAGCUCUUUCGCCAGGGAUGAUAAUGACAGUACCUGGUAAAGAAACCCCCGGCUAACUCCGCGCCAGCAGCCGC
rnacentral:rRNA from 1 species